CCUUACUGGAGUUAAAUUUUUUGAUAAAGUCCGCCAUUACACAACUCUGCCGAGCAGCACAUGAGAACUGGAGUUAUGUUCUUCGUUGUGAGGUAGGUAAAAGUGCAUUGUUAUACAAUUCUAAAAGCUUUUUCUAAAUGUUGGAUGUUUUGUAGCAGAAGUGUGUUUUGCUGUAGCUGUUUCAUUUUGUACUGUGAGGCUAGUGACUGCAUGUGGCUAACUUAGCAUAGCAUGUUAGCUUUUCCAAUGUGGCUGUUUUGUGCAGUUUUUAAAAAAAUGUUGUGGAUGUGAACAAGCUAACACUAGCUAAUAAUCUUUUCUUCCCCUGUGUUUCUAAAAAUGUGUGUUCUGCUGUCAAAAAGAAGUGGUAGGCCUACUUGAUCAGAUGGAGAAACCUGCUGUUCACAUUUCAAAUAGGCUAACUUACACAACGAGGCCACGAUGCUGAUAAAAGUGCAAUUUGGAGGCAAGAAAAAAUAUAUUAAACUGGAAGAAGAUUGUUUCUUGGAUUUUUUCAGUGCGGUCCAGCACAAGUUUGUGAUACCAGAGGAUACAGCAUCGAAAGUCACAGAUGACCAUGGCAUAGAGGUGGAUGAGGAUGUAUUUCAAGAACUUGCAACAACCAAAGAAACAUGUCAUCCACACUAAUGAUGAUUUGACUGUCCUGCAGCAAGGGGCUGUUGAAGUGCCCUCCUCCCCAAGUCUGACAGAUACAUUGUCUUUGUCAAGCAGUUUGAGCAGCAGUGAUUCUGGAUCUCAAAUUAUUCAACCUUUAAUGGGCAGUGUACAA